CUACGGGUGGCUGCAGUGGGGAAUAUUGGACAAUGGGCGAAAGCCUGAUCCAGCCAUGCCGCGUGUGUGAAGAAGGCCUUCGGGUUGUAAAGCACUUUCAGUGGGGAAGAAAGCCUUGGGGCUAAUACCCUCGAGGAAGGACAUCACCCACAGAAGAAGCACCGGCUAACUCCGUGCCAGCAGCCGCGGUAAUACGGAGGGUGCGAGCGUUAAUCGGAAUUACUGGGCGUAAAGCGCGCGUAGGCGGUCUGAUAAGCCGGUUGUGAAAGCCCCGGGCUCAACCUGGGAACGGCAUCCGGAACUGUCAGGCUAGAGUGCAGGAGAGGAAGGUAGAAUUCCCGGUGUAGCGGUGAAAUGCGUAGAGAUCGGGAGGAAUACCAGUGGCGAAGGCGGCCUUCUGGACUGACACUGACGCUGAGGUGCGAAAGCGUGGGUAGCAAACAGGAUUAGAUACCCCUGUAGUC
rnacentral:rRNA from 1 species